rnacentral:rRNA from 1 species
CCUACGGGUGGCAGCAGUCGAGAAUCAUUCACAAUGGGGGAAACACUGAUGGUGCGACGCCGCGUGGGGGAAUGAAGGUCUUCGGAUUGUAAACCCCUGUCAUGUGGGAGCAAAUUAAAAAGAUAGUACCACAAGAGGAAGAGACGGCUAACUCUGUGCCAGCAGCCGCGGUAAUACAGAGGUCUCAAGCGUGGUUCGGAAUCACUGGGCGGAAAGCGUGCGUAGGCUGUUUCGUAAGUCGUGUGUGAAAGGCGCGGGCUCAACCCGCGGACGGCACAUGACACUGCGAGACUAGAGUAAUGGAGGGGGAACCGGAAUUCUCGGUGUAGCAGUGAAAUGCGUAGAUAUCGAGAGGAACACUCGUGGCGAAGGCGGGUUCCUGGACAUUAACUGACGCUGAGGCACGAAGGCCAGGGGAGCGAAAGGGAUUAGAUACACGAGUAGUC